rnacentral:rRNA from 1 species
UGGAGAGUUUGAUCCUGGCUCAGGACGAACGCUGGCGGCGCGCCUAACACAUGCAAGUCGAGGGAGAACCACGCCUUCGGGUGUGGGGAGACCGGCGAACGGGUGAGUAACACGUGAGGAACCUGCCUCUGAGACCGGGAUAACCAUGGGAAACCGUGGCUAAUACCGGAUGUUCUCCGCGGUCCGCAUGGACCGCGGCGGAAAUGGUCUGCCGCUCAGAGAUGGCCUCGCGGCCUAUCAGCUAGUUGGUGAGGUAACGGCCCACCAAGGCGACGACGGGUAGCUGGCGUGAGAGCGCGACCAGCCACACUGGGACUGAGACACGGCCCAGACUCCUACGGGAGGCAGCAGUGGGGAAUCUUGCGCAAUGGGCGAAAGCCUGACGCAGCGACGCCGCGUGCGGGAAGAAGGCCUUCGGGUUGUAA